rnacentral:tRNA from 1 species
AGCAAGGUGGCAGAAAGCUUUAUGCGUUAGAUUGUAAAUUUAUUAAUAAAGGUUUGAUUCCUUUUCUUGUUA